AUUGAACGCUGGCGGCAUGCCUUACACAUGCAAGUCGAACGGCAGCACGGGUGCUUGCACCUGGUGGCGAGUGGCGAACGGGUGAGUAAUACAUCGGAACAUGUCCUGUAGUGGGGGAUAGCCCGGCGAAAGCCGGAUUAAUACCGCAUACGAUCUACGGAUGAAAGCGGGGGACCUUCGGGCCUCGCGCUAUAGGGUUGGCCGAUGGCUGAUUAGCUAGUUGGUGGGGUAAAGGCCUACCAAGGCGACGAUCAGUAGCUGGUCUGAGAGGACGACCAGCCACACUGGGACUGAGACACGGCCCAGACUCCUACGGGAGGCAGCAGUGGGGAAUUUUGGGCAAUGGGCGAAAGCCUGAUCCAGCAAUGCCGCGUGUGUGAAGAAGGCCUUCGGGUUGUAAAGCACUUUUGUCCGGAAAGAAAUCCUUGGCUCUAAUACAGUCGGGGGAUGACGGUACCGGAAGAAUAAGCACCGGCUAACUACGUG
rnacentral:rRNA from 1 species